CCAAUAGCGUAUAUUAAAGUUGUUGCAGUUAAAAAGCUCGUAGUUGAACUUCGGGGUCUACCCAUUGGUCAGGUUUAAUUGUCUGCACUGGUGAGAUGGAUCUCUACCUUCUGUGGAACUUUCAUGCCAUUUAUUUGGUGUGGUUGGAAAUCAGGACUGUUACUUUGAAAAAAUUAGAGUGUUUAAAGCAGACUAUCGUCUGAAUACAUUAGCAUGGAAUAAUGAAAUAGGACGGACUGAUUCUAUUUCGUUGGUUUCUAGGAUCACCGUAAUGAUUAAUAGGGAUAGUUGGGGGCAUUAGUAUUCAAUUGUCAGAGGUGAAAUUCUUGGAUUUAUUGAAGACUAACUACUGCGAAAGCAUUUGCCAAGGAUGUUUUCAUUAAUCAAGAACGAAAGUUAGGGGAUCGAAGACGAUCAGAUACCGUCGUAGUCUUAACCAUAAACUAUGCCGACUAGGGAUCGGAUGAUGUUAAUUUUUUAAUGACUCAUUCGGCGCCUUACG
rnacentral:rRNA from 1 species